UUUCCGUAGGUGAACCUGCGGAGGGAUCAUUACUGAUUGAGGGUCUCCCGGCCCGACCUCCAACCCUUUGUGAAUCGUACUCGUUGCUUCGGUGGCGACCCUGCCGUCCGCGGCUGAGCGCCCCCGGGGUCAAUCAAACACUGCAUUCUCUGCGUCGGAGUAUUAGUAAAUCUAAUCAAAACUUUCAACAACGGAUCUCUUGGUUCUGGCAUCGAUGAAGAACGCAGC
rnacentral:misc_RNA from 1 species